rnacentral:lncRNA from 1 species
GGUUAGUACUUUGGCGAAGUCUUACGCAGGAGGGGAGGAGCAGGAGCAGAUGUGACAUCACCAGGCAGACCAAAACUCCAUCCCAACAAAACAUGCUGAAAUUGAAGGCCUUUAACAGGGGUGUGCUGCUAAAGUCAAUCAACACACGUCUUUCACCUCGAGAGAGAUCUGCUCUGGGCCACUGGGACAGCACAGAAAGAAAACCGUUACAGUCUUGUCUCAUCGCUGCAACUCCCGUACGGACUCGGGAGAGGCGAAGGCCAAGAGCGGUGCGUCCUCCGAAACCCAACCAAGCCUCACUGCUUCUUGACACAAUGCCCAUUUAACAUAGAUGCCAGCCACACCAAUGUGUCAGAGGAAACACCGUACCCCUGGCGACUGUCAGCGUGCAUGCGCCCGGAGCCUGGACUCAAACCCAGAAUCUCUAGUUGCACAGCUAGCACUGCGAUGCAGUGCCUUAGACCACUGCACCACUCGGGAGGCCCUGAUCAGAGGAUUUCUGAGAAGACACUUAUAUAGUGCUUUGUUUUGCACAUGAAGUGGUCCAUAUAAAGAUGUGGAUGGAUGGAG